rnacentral:rRNA from 1 species
UACGGAGGGCGCAAGCGUUUUUCGGCAUCACUGGGCGUAAAGCGCGGGUAGGCGGACGGGCAAGUCGGGUGUGAAAUCCCGAGGCUCAACCUCGGAACUGCACUCGAAACUGCUCGGCUCGAGUCCCGGAGAGGGUGGCGGAAUUCCCGGUGUAGGGGUGAAAUCCGUAGAUAUCGGGAGGAACACCAGUGGCGAAGGCGGCCACCUGGACGGUGACUGACGCUGAGACGCGAAAGCGUGGGGAGCAAACAGG